CAGCAGCCGCGGUAAUACAGAGGGUGCGAGCGUUAAUCGGAUUUACUGGGCGUAAAGCGUGCGUAGGCGGCUUCUUAAGUCGGAUGUGAAAUCCCUGAGCUUAACUUAGGAAUUGCAUUCGAUACUGGGAAGCUAGAGUAUGGGAGAGGAUGGUAGAAUUCCAGGUGUAGCGGUGAAAUGCGUAGAGAUCUGGAGGAAUACCGAUGGCGAAGCAGCCAUCUGGCCUAAUACUGACGCUGAGGUACGAAAGCAUGGGGAGCAAACAGGAUUAGAUACCCGUGUAGUCCCUGUCUCUUAUACA
rnacentral:rRNA from 1 species